UACGUAGGUCGCAAGCGUUGUCCGGAAUUAUUGGGCGUAAAGAGCUCGUAGGCGGUUUGUCGCGUCUGCUGUGAAAACCUAAGGCUCAACCUUGGGCUUGCAGUGGGUACGGGCAGACUAGAGUGCGGUAGGGGUGACUGGAAUUCCUGGUGUAGCGGUGGAAUGCGCAGAUAUCAGGAGGAACACCGAUGGCGAAGGCAGGUCACUGGGCCGCAACUGACGCUGAGGAGCGAAAGCAUGGGGAGCGAACAGG
rnacentral:rRNA from 1 species